rnacentral:rRNA from 1 species
UACGAAGGGUGCAAGCGUUACUCGGAAUUACUGGGCGUAAAGCGCGCGUAGGCGGGUUGGCAAGUCCGCUGUGAAAGCCUGAGGCUUAACCUCAGCGGGUCGGUGGAUACUGCCAGUCUUGAAGGCGUUAGGGGGAGAUGGAAUUCCCAGUGUAGCGGUGAAAUGCGUAGAUACUGGGAGGAACACCGGUGGCGAAGGCGGCUACCUGGACCGGUUCUGACGCUGAGGCGCGAAAGCGUGGGUAGCAAACAGG